GCUAACCACCCUGAACACAUCUGAUCUCUUCUGAUCUUGGAAGCUAAGCAGGGUCAGGCCUGGUGAGUAAUUGGAUGGGAAAAAACAAUUAAAAAGUAGUU
rnacentral:rRNA from 1 species